rnacentral:rRNA from 1 species
UACGGAGGGUGCGAGCGUUGUUCGGAAUCACUGGGCGUAAAGCGCGCGUAGGCGGCCCACUAAGUCUGAUGUGAAAGCCCGGGGCUCACCCCCGGAAGUGCAUUGGAAACUGGUGGACUCGAGUCCCGGAGAGGAGAGUGGAAUUCCCAGUGUAGCGGUGAAAUGCGUAGAUAUUGGGAGGAACACCAGUGGCGAAGGCGGGUCACUGGGCCGGAACUGACGCUGAGGCGCGAAAGCGUGGGGAGCAAACAGG